rnacentral:snRNA from 1 species
AGCUUUGCGCAGUGGCAGUAUUGUAGCCAAUGAGGUUUAUCUGAAGCGCGAUUAUUGCUAAUUGAAAAAUCAAGGCCCAG